UGUCCCCUACGGACGCAGCAGUGGGGAAUAUUGCACAAUGGAGGGAACUCUGAUGCAGCGACGCCGCGUGAGUGAAGAAGUAAUUCGUUAUGUAAAGCUCUAUCAGCAGGGAAGAAAGUGACGGUACCUGAAAAAGAAGCUCCGGCUAAAUACGUGCCAGCAGCCGCGGUAAUACGUAUGGAGCAAGCGUUAUCCGGAUUUACUGGGUGUAAAGGGAGAGUAGGUGGCAGAGCAAGUCCGAAGUGAAAACCCAAAACUCAACUAUGGGAAUGCUUUAGAAACUGCUCAGCUAGAGUGCAGGAGAG
rnacentral:rRNA from 1 species